GGGGGUAUUUUGGGGGUGUGCUCUUUGGAUAAAACAAGUAUUUCUCUGCCCAAAUUACCCCGCUUUGCUGAAGCAGAGAACAGGUAAAAGUGAGUGUGUGACAGCUCCCAGCUCUUCCUUAACUCUUCCUUUUCCCAGCAAAUAAAAAUGAGCAGAUCCUUUCCAGUGAAGCCCAGAGAUGUGUGGCUGCUCCAAGGAUGUGAUCAGGCUCGGUGUGGAUGUGCCCUGUGCUGAAGCCCUGGAACCUGCCAGUUGCUGGCUGUUGGGUUGCACUUUGGAACAAAUAACGUGCUGUAUCUGGUUUCUGAGUUGUCUGCAAGGAUGCAGGUCCUUUCCCCCCAGAUGCAAAUCCUUUCCCCCCAGAUCCAAGGCGUGUUAUUCACCAUCUCCAGCCCACAAACACACAAAACUGGUAUUUGUUCCUCACAACCGAUCAGAAAAGAAGAUCUCAGAACCUAAAGCACCUCUUUGCAGCAAGAAAGAUCAGCAAGGGUUCGUGCUUUGAAAUAAAAGGGGCUGAGAGACACUCACCAGUUUUAAUCAAUAAAGCCAGAAAUACGCUGGCUCUGAGCUCACCCCUACAAGACCAGGGUUUGAACUCCCUGGGACCAGGCUGGAGAUGUGCUGAGUCACUGAAGGACAUCACCACGAACAAGAAAAGCCUCAGCACAAGACGCUUGUUAGGGCUUUAAGCAUUAAAAAAAAAAAAAAAAAAAAAACCUGCUGGAAAUGAUCCUGCCUUCCCCCCGGACAGCCCCCUCAUCAGCAGCAUUCACAGUGUGAGAACCCAUUUCACCUCUCAGAGAGGAGGUAAUUAUUUCUUGUCAGUUAGGCUCAAUCACUGAACUCUAAACAGCUGGUGGUAUAUCACCAUUUAGCCUCAUUUACCACCAUGAUAGCCUUUUAGCUGUUCUACAUUUCACGCGUUCUCUGCCAUUUUGCCCAUAAAUUCGCCUCAAAAAAAAAUCAUAAAAAUUUAUGAGGGGGGGGGGAAAGAAAAAGCAUAAAAUGGAGGUGGCUAAAAGAAAAGGUACUAAAAUUUUCAAAUGAAGAUGAGGUUGCAUACCCCCAGCUGUGUGAAGUGCAGUGAUUGAGGGUCUGGCUGAUGAGGGUUGAUUGCCUUCCUCCUGCUCCUUGCCCCCAUUAAAGGAGAAGUGCAUCCUCCCUCUGGGUGCGGCUGAUUAACGGCAGCGCAGGGAAGACCUGGGAACAACUGUGUCUUCCACGUUUCGAUGUGAUCCAUGGAUUUUCCUGACCCCCUUCCAAUAAACUAGCACCCUUAAACAGCCUGAAAGGUUUAUAGGAACAGAAACCGGGAGGCAUCACUUUGCAGAGGGAUCAGCUCGUGGCAGCGUUUAUGAUGGAGAAUGUAUCGAUACAUUCUCACCUUAUUCAGUUAAAUGGGAUUUGGCUUCCAGGAUGGC